GUCUACAGCCAUACCACUGAAUGUGCCUGAUCCUGGCUGAUCUCAGAAGCUAAGCAGGGUUGGGCCUGGUUAGUACUUGGAUGGGAGAAAGAAAGGCGAAGGGA
rnacentral:rRNA from 1 species